GUGGUUCCGCCGAUUAGGAAUUGCAACAAUACCGAAAAGUAGCUUUUAGAAAUGCAAUGCUGUAUGACUUAUGUACAGAUACGGUUUCAUAUACGUUCAUCAUUCAUUAGGGAAAUAGUUAUUUAUUUAUUAGCUAUUUAUAUAUUGCAAGACCGAAUAUGUUGAUCAGAUCAUUAUAGGCCUAAGUAUUGGAAAGUUAUUGUUGCUUACAGACAGUAACAACUUCUUCCUUUUAUUUUUUUGUUUGUCUAGGUUAUUCUUAGGUACCUCGCUUGUAUGUCGUUUAAAACAAAAACGAUUGCCAAACAAAUAAAUGUAAUCUAGACCUAAAUAUCGAUUAAUGAUACCAGCUAACAAGCGACGUCUUUUGGACGUCCGAUUUUGGUCGGCCAGGUAACGCGUUACAUUCACAACGUUAGGCAGACGUCCGAUUUUAGUUCGUCAGGUAACGUUUCAUUCACAAUGUUAGGCGGACGUCCGAUUUUGGUCCGCCAGGGAACGUUUCGUUCACAACGUUAGGCGGACGUCCGAUUUUAGUCCGCCCGUAAACGUUUCAUUCACAAUGUUAGACGGACGUCCGAUUUUGGUCCGCCCAGUAACGUUUCAUUCACAACGUUAGGCGGACGUCCGAUUUUAGUCCGCCAGGUAACGUUUUAUUCACAAUGUUAGGCGACGUCCUAUUUUAGUCCGCCAGGUGACGUUUUAUUCACAACGUUAGGCGGACGUCCGAUUUUAGUCUUUGAAUCCUUGAAAUAAAUGUAUUUGAUCAUUUUUCUUUUUACAUAGAGCCACUAUACACAAUAGUUUAUUUUUUUCACUGCUAACAGUUUGGAUCAGGAGUUGGUUAUUGUAAAAGAAGUAAUGUACGUGCAUGUGGUGAUAUUUGUAUAGGCCAAGCUUUAUCUGCACCCUUCUGGCAGUGUGGCCAAUGCAGUCGGGUCUCGCACACUACGACAAGAAGUUUGUCCGACUUGACUGCAGUCCGUUUAUAUUCCACCCAUGCAGCCGCAGGCAGAUCGCGCUCCAAGUCAGAUCAGCUGCAGACAGCCCAAGUCGAACGCACCCAAUUUCACACACCACACCUGAUAAUUCACACGCCGAGAAGCGAUAAAGCUCGCGAGACGAGGCGCAGGCCAAUAGCUCUGCUUAGCGCAUACAACUGUCAUGACCUAGCAACCUAUCAGCUAAUCAGAAAAUAGUGUUGCCAGGUCAAGUAUGAUAAUUAUUUUCAGUUGUAAGCGCGCGCUGUUCUUAUACGCUCUGAAUGCGUCCAUAAUUCACAGACAAGUUGUAGAAGGACAUGCACCAGGAAAUCGUUUGUUAUAAAUUUUCCAUUAGGUUACAUUUCAUUAUGAGCUAAAGUGCUUAAAUGCAAGCCGCUAUCUCUGUCGGGUGUGGCAUGUGAAAUUAUUUAAAUGCUUGUUCCCAUGUAUCGUCACUCAAAACCUCUUUAAAAUGAAUAAGUUGAAGACGUUUAGGCAGUAUUAUGCGAUAGGAUCAAAAUUAGACGCCUGAAGAACGUAUUUGUAAAAUAUGACCUGUCUGUAACAUUCACAACAUCCCCAAACCCUCUGCCUAAAGUUCUGCAUGAAACGUUACGUGGCGGAGGAAAAUCGAACGCCCGCCAUACAUUGUGAAUAAAACGUUACCUGGCGGACCAAAAUCGGAAGCCCGCCGAAUGAAACGUUACUUGCAGCUCUGGCGGACCAGAAUCGGACAGAUUCUGUCAAAUCAAAUGUAUAGUUUUACUAAAAUGUAUAUAUAUAUAUAUAUACAUUAAAAUACAAAAAAAAAGACAUUUGGCCACAAAUGAGCCUCUUAAACAGUGGUCCCUCUCUCUUAAAUACGAUCGAGCCUACAGUAUAUCUCUGUCGACGCGGCAUUAACAUCUGCUACAAACGCUCAUAUCUUGAGAGAGAGAGACCACUGCUGUUUAAGUGGCUCUGGCGCAAAAUGUCACUAAACCGACAGAACAUAUGAAACGAAAUUAAUUAAACGAUUACAAAAUGGCAUUAACAUUGUUAACGUAGUAAGUCACAGAAAUGUGAGACCUAUACUGUGCGGUGCGUGUAAACACGUUCUUGCACUCGUUCGCGAGUUCUGUCCAUUUUUUCGUCCGUUAGCCCAUAGACUAACAUGGGCAGCCGCCUCACUUCAUAAAGCCAUCAAAUUUGACGUGAUUCGAGGGCGCAUAUCUGUAACCGCCAUAACCCUCAUUCGUCUUUCCAUCCAUUCUUUUUCUGUGGCUUAUUUUCCCCUUAUGAGCCUAUUCGUUUUCCCCAUUUAGAGGCCACCUCCUGAACACACAUCUGUCUCUUUCGACCCGCACUCUUUUACUUGCUUUUAUCACCCCUCGUUUAUUCCCCAUUCACGUCAAUACAAUUUAAUAUGACUUUCUACUGGGCCAGUUUUCACUACAACACUUGAGGAAUCACAGCAUUUUCUUGCAGAAAUGCAUCUCUAGUUUAUAUGUAUGUACUGUAUGUAUGUAUAAACAAAGGGCACAAAUUAAGUUUGAUUUGAUUUUGCUUCACCAAAUCUGUCCCAUCUCAUGUAAAAGUAUACUAGGCAUGCUGGAAGUGGUUCAAUAGAACUGCAAUAGAUAACCUCUUGUUUAAGGAUUGCAAUGUGGGGCCAUUUUUAUGUAUGUAUUUUGUCUCUUUUAUGUUAAGUAAAGUUCUCUACAUAUUGACACAUUUUCAGGAGAAUAUGAAUACUGAGAAGAGACAAAUAUUCAGGUCUGUUUCCUUCAAAACCAUACACAAGAAACGACAGUAUAAUCGGAUUUGGGCAAGAGUGUCUCAAUCACAUAAAAAAACACUUCAGAUGGAAGAGAUGACUUUGUUGACUAUGGAAGCAACCAUGAUGUUGAUGGUGAACUAGGUCAAGGACAGCUGAAUUUGUUUCAGGACCCAAACUGCUUCUUGUUGUGAUUUUUCUUCUCAAGAUCAAGUUCAUAAUGCUGCAGAAGUGAGCGAUUCAGAAUCAGAAAGUGAAGGACGUUAUUCAGGCAGUAGUUCUCUGAGGGAAGAAUUAGCCAGAUGGGUGGCUAUGUUUAAUGUCAAGCACAAUGCAGUUGACUCUCUUCUGAAAGUACUGGUAAAACAUGGACAUUCUGAUCUGCCUACCACUGCAAGAACAUUAAUGGGAAACACAGGCAAUUCAAAUACAAAAUGUGUCAGGGGUAGAAUAUGUUAAGUUUGAUGUCAGACAAAGAAUCCUAGAUCAUUUGCAGUCCUACCCUUCAGCCAUGCUAAAGUCCUUGAAUACUUUGGAAAUUUCUUUAAAUUUGGAUGGGCUACCACUGUUUAAAAGCAACAACCGAGCACUCUGGCCAGUUUUGUGCUCUAUUGAUCUUGACUUAGUGUCUGUCUUUCCAUUAUCGCUUGCAGUGGCUUCAUCAAAACCUACAUCUAUGGACUUCAUUAGUGAUACGGUUUGUGAUCUGGCUAACUUACUAGAAACUGGAAUCGAGUUGGAAGGGAGAAAUCUAGCAGUACACAUUAGGUGCAUUAUUUGUGAUGCCCUAGCAAAGGCCAUGAUGAAAUGUGUAAAGCAGUACUCUGGUUAUUAUGGCUGUGAUAGAUGUAUACAAAGGGGAAGAUGGCUUGGUAGAAUGACUUAUGAGGAGGAGACAAAUCUGACGCUGCGGACUGAUCUGACUUUCAGAGAACAAACGUAUGCAGAACAUCAUCAAAAGGAAAAGAUUUCCCCUUUCUGUAAUCUUCCAAUUGACAUCAGGUGUUUUCCCGUUUACUACAUUCAUCAGUGUUGUCUAGGAGUUAUGAGAAAAUUGCUGGUCUUGUGGACAAGAGGCCAUUCCACAGUAAGACUAUCUCCUGUGCAGAUAAAAGAAGUUAGUCAUAGAUUAAAUCAGCUAAGGAGUGCUAUGCCAAGAUGUUUUGCAAGGAAGCCACGUGGUUUGGAAGAACUUGAAAGAUGGAAAGCAACAGAAUUUCGCCAGUUCGCUUUGUACACAGGAAAGGUGGUUCUUAAAGGAAUUCUUCCAGACCAGUUCUUUGAGCAUUUCAUGACCUUUAGCGAAGCUCUAUGCAUGCUUGUCUCCCCAAAACUCGCUCAGCGCUACAGUUAGUAUGUGCAAGAAUUACUUGUGUUUUUUGUGGAACAAGGGCGAUUUUUAUAUGGGGAAGGCUUCUUGGUGUACAAUGUCCACUCUUUGAUUCACAUCACAGAAGAUGCAAAAGAAUUUGGAUGUUUGGAUAGUUGCAGUGCCUUUCGUUUUGAAAACUAUCUACAGGAGCUUAAAAAACUAAUUCGCUCUGAAAGACGUCCUCUUACUCAAGUCGUGAAAAGAAUCGAGGAGAGCAGAGUUUUAAUUCAAACCAAAAGCAGACAAACUAAGGAAGAUGCAGUUGGUCUAAAGUAUCCCAACAACACAUUCAUGCUAAAAGAAACAUCUUGUUGUGAAGUGGUUUCAGUUGUUUCUGAGAGGAAGAAAUGGAAGAAUGUAGAAUCUAUGAACAGGUCGAGCCGUUAUUUCUCAGCCCUUGUGACUCUUGUUUGAUUGGAGCGUACAGAGUGCAUGUGAGAAACGCACAAAUGAAAACUGUAUCUGAAGACUGCUUGGAACAGAGGACAAUCAUUAUUGAAGAGAAUCACGGAACUAGAGUUGUGCUUGCCAUUCUACAUUAUCUCUGACUCUUGGUAAAUGUGCUUUAAUUGCUUUUGACAAACAGUUCUAUCACUGAAAAGUUGUUAGAUGCAUUUUAUUUUUAAAUUUUAGGUUGAUCAACGUUUUGCAGUUGUUCACUUUCUGAGGGAAAAUUCGGUUGAUGUAAUACCAUCGUCUUGGCUGGAAAAAGUAAAUGGGGUAAAACAUGAAAAAGGACAGAUACAAGGAAAAGGAAAGUAAAAUGUAAACUAUGAAGAAGAACUUUUCAUAUUAAUGUCAACAUCUUUUUUUCUAUAUUUUGUUCAUUUUUGUGUUCUUUUGCGUCUGACAUUGACAGGAGCUAUAUUGCUAUUAGCCGCAAAACAACGCUGCCAAAAUGGUGAAAAGAGGGGAUAUGGCAGACAAACAACUAUGGCUUAAAUACCAAAUCAGAGUCUUCACGUUUGCAGACAACUAUCAAUUGUCAAGGGACAGGGCACAAAAAGGACUUGAAACAUCUAAUAUUGAGUCCAAUAGGGGCAGUGUGAGGAAGAUGAAGAGUUCCUGUUGCGAAGGAAAAAUAAAGCUAGGUGUACUAUGAGUUCUUCUUUGGACAGGGGAAGUUCACAAGAAAAAGAGCAUGGAGCUGCACUGCCUGCUCCCCCCCGAAUUUUGUUCAUCACCAGUUGUCAUACCUACUAUCUCUUCAAUGCAUGAUGCCAACUUACAAGGGGUAAUGAUUGGGAAAUACCACCUUCAUCACAGAACGGCGUUCUAGUGCUAUCAAGAGCUUUAUUGAGGCUUCUGAAAAGAGAAUUAUGAUGAAGUUAGAGAGGAUGCAGUAUGACUUUCAGAAUGCAAUCCAAGGAUUACAACAAAUAUCUGCACCCUCCCCAUCACAUGAACAAGUGAUAUGGGAGAAACCAUGUGAGACUCAACAGGAUAUAGUUAAAAAACCUGGCAUACAGAAGAAAAAUGGAUGAUGCUGCAGUGAGAGAUACAAGGGAAAUGGAGCAGGGACCUGAAGCGGAUGAAUUUGCUUGUUAAUGUUGACUUUAACAUUUAAUAACAACAUUCUAAUGUUAUGAAAGUUUUUGAUGUUAAUAAAGUGAGAUGACUGAAA